AAGCAGUUUUAGAGAUUGAGACAC
rnacentral:snRNA from 1 species